ensembl:lncRNA
AAAAAGCUCAAGGACGUACAUACAGUAGCUCUAAACCUGCAGUGGUGUGGGGGAUGUUUCUUGACUGAUAUUGGAAGUGUAGAAUUAGCAUAAUCAGCAGUCAUUACUCCAGAGUCUCUGGACUCUUUGAUACUCUUGCUGUGAGCAGAAUGUGCUUCAACAUGCUGUGUUCCACUCAUUGAGAAAAUGAAAGAUUUGAAGAGACUGUGGAUUAAUGAUCUCCAGUUGGCCAGUUUCACUUGUGUAGGUAACAGCAGAUGGCAGAAGAGGGGCAGUCUGACAAAAUGGUGUCUGACAUGGAAGUGUGGAUGAAGCAAAGGUGUGUCACUGACUUCCUUCAUGUGGAAAAAAUGCCACCCACUGACAUUCAUCAGUGCUUGCUGAAUGCUUAUGGAGACCAAAAAGUGGAGAGCAUGUUCCCUAGCCUCACAGACCUCAGAUCUGUAGUUGAAGCACUGGAGCUGAAACCGUAUCAUUGGCACUGGGACAACUAGGCUGGACUUGGAUAAUUCCGGAAUCCUCACUGCAAGACCUGAUACAUCUUCUCAGAUGGGACAGUUAAGCAGUUUCACUGUUACUUGCUCUCCUUCUUCCCUAUUCCCCUGUGGUUGAUUCACACAAAAAUAAAUUAUCUUCAUCAGCUAUACUUUUCAUGCACAGCUCUUGGUCUAGGCUGCUGGUUUAAAAGAUCUGAAUUAAAAUCUAUUUACUUCCAGUGUCACGCUGAAAUACUGGUUUAUUUGCAGGAAAUGUUUCAUUUUGUUUUUCUUUUAGGAUUCUUUUUUCUUUCACUUCCUUUAUUUUAAGAUAUAUUUUACCACUUCCUAUUUCAGCCUUUGUAUAAGUACUUGUUGAUAAUCUAUUAUUUUUUCUAAUUAUAUUUUUAUAUCUCCUUUAUUCAGUGUACUACUGAAGGAAAAGCAGAACAAUAAUAAAAGUAAAUGAGCUAUAUGGUUGAGAUGAAAAUUAAAUAGCCUUUCUGAAUUUGUCAGUUUUCUACAUAGUUUUUAUUUGAGAGUUUAUUAUAAAUGCAACCAUGCUGAAUUGAAGUUGUAAAGACUUGUUCUGCCUUUCCCUACUUCCUUUGUGCUUGCUUUUGUGGCUGUGGUGAAGCAUGAAGUAUUCAAUUUAAUAAUUACAUUUAAAAGAAAGUUAAUUAUACAAAGCUGCUCUGUGCCACAUCCACAUAAAUACAUUUAGUUGUCAAAUUUGCUGAAAUUUGAAUCUCCCUGGAAGAGCAUUAGUAUUACAGUUUUGCACACUUCAACAGCAGCUAUGUAAAUACUCAACUCUGAAAUCAAAUGCUAAUUUUUCCCAAGGAUUAGAUAAGUCAUGUAGCUAAUAUUUUUGUUGACUUUUAUCCCAAUAAGAUUUGCACUGUCCUACUUACAAUGUGAAAAAAUAGAUUUCUGGUUAGGACACUUGGCAAUCACGGGGAUGUUGCAGUUCAGAUCCAGUUGUUGAUGUGUUCUCAUACAUUUUCAGUCACAUCAUGUUUUUAAAACAUGCUCAGUCAUAUUUUUAGGAUAUGUUGAUUUUUUUUUGUGUUUGGAGGUGAAGACAAUAUUUUACACAGUCAUAUAUACUGUAAGCUGCUAAAUAGCAUAUCCUUUUAAUGUGACAAAUAUCUAUACUGUUAGCUAACAUGGACAGUGCAAUCUCAUUGUGGGAGUUAAGUGAUGAGAUGAAAUAGCCCAUGAUCUUGGAAAUGUGGGUUACAGUUUCUUAGGUAUUACAGACUAUAUCACUAAUGAAGCAAUUUGUUCUGUGUCCACUCACAUUUCAUUUGCUGCCAUCAACAAUUAAGAGAUGUCGUAGUAAGGUCAUCGUAGAUUAACACCUUGUCUUUGCAAAGAUCUCAUUAAAAUAGAGAGGAAUUCUAAUUCCUAGCCAAGAUAAUGUUAAUUUGAUGAGAGAAUAAAUAUUGUGGAAGCAAUUUGUGCAAGAGAAAUGAAUGUUAAAGGUAUUAUUCUCUUUUCAAUAAAAGAAGUAAUUCUUACAUGGAAAGAUAGCCUAUUGAAAAAAAUAGUCAGACAUGUUACUGCAGGAAAUGGUUAGAUACCUUGGCCUGGUUAAGGAAGCAUGUCAUGUUGUCCGAGAUUUGCACAGAUGUGCAGAGCCAUAAAUAAAUUGAACAGAAAAUAAGAUUUCUCCCUUUGCUGGUUGCCAGUGUUACAGUUAAACUACAAAGAAAGUAAUUUCUCCAACCAUCAUACAUUUACUUCCCAGUCAUCCUCGAAUGCUUGUAACAGUGAAGGGCGUUGUAAUUGACAUUUCAUUCUAAUACACUGGCUGCCUUGCCUGAAUUUUGGCUGGUUGAUAAGGCUCUUGGAAAUCCAGAGUCUCAUCAUGUCCUGAACAAUUUCAAUCCAGCCCUGUGGCAAUCUAAGCGCUUAACCAGCAAAACAGGAAAGACAAUAUUUGGAGAUGCUACCUUUCAAAAUGCACACAGCAGAGUAACUGAAAUAAUCAAAUUGCUCCUGAAUAAUCCUUUUUCAAAUUUGAAAGCAGAAUGAAGAAAAGAUUUAAAAGAAUAUACAUGUCAAUUUAAGCAAAUAAAAUGUGCAGACAUGAAUUCAUCACAACUGUAUUGUCACUGACGUUGCAUUUCAGAUAAAUUUGAUGAUAAUAUCACAUUUUUUUAAAGGAGGAAAAAAAUCAAUAAUUUUGUCUACAGACUUUGCAUUAUAUUCCAGUUACUUGAAAGAAAAUGUCAUGUGCAUCAACUCAUUCUUCAGGAUGUACUUUCUGAAAAGAUGUGGAUAAUAUUACAUAGACUAAGGGGAACACAGCUACGUUUGAGCUGCUUUAAGGCAAUGGUCCAUGUGCAUGCCCUACCAUGUGGAACUCUGUUGAGAAUCAGAGUUUAUUCAGUGAUAUAAUAUGGAUGCUUUUCCAGUUCAGAGGUGAAGUUUUUUUCUCUGCAAAAGUAACUCUAAUCCCAGUUUUGUCCACUUCUGUGUCUGCAUUUCUUUAACUGGUCACUGAAUCACAAAAACACAGAAUUGCAGAAAUUGAAAGAGACCUCAAGAGAUCAUCGAGUCCAGCCUGCCCCUGCUAAAGCAGGUACCCUACAAGAGGUCACACAGGUUGUUGAUGAUGUUGAACAAGACCAGACCCAGCACUGACACCUGGGAAGCACCGGUAAUUAAAGGCCUCAAGCCAGAUUCUGUGCUGCUGAUGACAACCCUGUGAGCUCUGACAGUGAAACAGUUCUCAAUCCAGCUCACUGUCCACUCAUCUGUGCCACAUUCUCUACAUUUCAUAACCAGGAUGUUGUGGGAGACGGUGUCAAAUGCCCUACUGAAGUCACGGUACACAACAUCCACUGCUCUCCCUCCGUGUACCCAGACAGUGGUGACAUCAUAGAAGGAUAUCAGGUUGGUCAAGCAUGAUUUCUCCUUGGUGAAUACAUAUUGACAACUCUUGAUAACUUUCUUCUCUUCCAAUUGCUUGGAGAUGGCGUAAAGAGCAAGUUGUCCAUCAUCUUUCUAGGGAUGGAGGUGAGGCUGACUGGCCUGUAGUAUCCCAGAUCCUCCUUCUUGCCCUUUUUGAAGACUGGAGUGACAUUCUUUAUCUUCCAGUCUUCAGACACCUCUCCCAUUUGCCAAGACCUUUCAAAGAUUAGAUAGAUAGCAGUUUAGCAGUCAUCUCUUUUAGUUCUCUCAGCACAUUUGGGUACAUCCCAUCAGGUCCCAUGGUUUUAUGUACAUUGAUUUUGGCUAGAUUCACUCUGACCAGAUCCACCUUGAUCACUGGAAAGUCCUCCUUUGCCCAGACUCUCUUACCUCCAGGGUCUGGAAUUCCAGAGGGCUAGUCUUAGCAUAAAAGACUGAAACAAAGAGGGCAUUCAGGAUCUCUGCCUUCUCAGCAUCCCCUGUUACCAAGGCACCCAUCUCAUUUAGUAGGGAACCCACAUUUUCCCUAGUCUUCCUUUUACUGUUGACAUAGUUAAAAAAAAUAUUUCUUCUUAUCCUUUUCCUCCUUUGAAGGGUUUAAUUCCAAGAGGGCCUUAGCCUUCCUACAAUUCCUGAAAACAUUCCUUACUCUUGCCACCUUUUCCCAGUUUCUUACUCUUACUGGCCCAGGAAUGGACCAGUCUUGAGCUUGGAAGAAAUUGUGUUUAAGCACCAACUAGCUCUCAUGGUUCCCCUUUCCUUCUAACACUCUAGCCCAUGGAAUAACUCCAAGUAGGUCUUUGAAGAAGUUGAAUUUGUCUCUCGUGAAGUCCAGGGUAGCAAUUCUACUUAUUGCUUUGCUUCUCCCACACAAGAUCUUGAACUCCACCAUCUUGUGACUGCUGCAUCCCAAGCUUCUCCCACAUAUCACAUCCCUGACCAGCCCUUCCUUGUUAGUAGAAACAAGUUCAAGUAGCACACCCCUCCUAGUCGGCUCCUCCACUACUUGUGUCAGAAAGCUGUCAUCAAAGCAUUGCAGGAACUGCCUGGACCUUGUGUGACUGUCCAUGCUUCUUAACCAACAAAUAUCAGAAUGGUUGAAAUCCCUGAUAAGAACCAGUGCUGGGGAUUGCAAGGCUUCUUCCAGCUGUUUGUAGAAGGCCUCAUCCACUUCCUUCUCCUGAUCAGGUGACCUGUAGUACACAUCCACAACAAUGUCACCUAUGUUAGCCCUCCCCUUAAUUCUUACCCACAAAUUCUACACUUGUUCCACCCAAGUGGAGCUCAAUACAUUCUAAUUGCUUUCUUGCAUGAACAGCAACUCCACCACUUCAUCUUGCCAGCUGGUCUUUCCUUAAGAGGACAUAGCCAUCCAUGACAGCAUUCCAGUCAUGUGAGCUGUCCCACCAUGUCUCCAUGGCUGCAAUGAAAUCAUGGCCCUGUGAUCACACACAGAUAUAUAGUUCUUCCUGUUUAUUUCCCAUGCUGUGUACAUUGGCAUAUGGGCACUUUAGGGAAGCAGAGGGUGCAGAUAUCUCUAGAGGAGUGCUGAGGGUUUAAGCUGAGCUAUUGGCAAAGGAAACUUGUUAACCUAAGUUAAAUAAUUAAAAAAGGAAGUAUCUGAGAGGUAGGCCUGAGAAGUACUGAUAAUUGCUGUCAUACCUUACGAGAAUAUUAAAAAUCAUUUGUCUGUUCCUCUUCCCACUUUAUACUACAUCAUUCACUCAAAUUUGCAUGAUGUUUUCAAUUGCUUCAUGUUGAAUAUCAGAUUAAGAAGUAUCACAUAUCCAGUAUAAUUUCUUAUCCCUUCCUGGGUGCAUCUUCAUGUUUACUGUCAUUCACACUGGAAAUUCCCAGUAAAUACAAAAAAUGUGAGAAUACCAUGAAUGUAAGUCACUGAAAGUGGUAUCUCCUGUUUACUUCCAUGGAAAACAAAACAGAUACAAAGAGCACAAUAACGCUAUUUGAUAGAGCAAAUUCUAAGCCACAAACUACUAUUUUUCAACAUGAUUACCUUUACUUUUGCCAGCAGCGAACAAGAGUUUCCAUGCCACGUUCAUAAAAUCUGCUCCAUUGGAGGCGACCUACUGCUGCUAUCACCAUUGCUGAAACACAUCACCCACCACCUCACUGCUCACAUACACUGUUUGGUCUCCAUAAGCAUUCAGCAAGUAUUGAUGAAUGUCAGUAGGUACAAUUAUUUUUGAAUGGAGGAAAUCAAUGACACACCUUUGCUUCAUAACACCCUACAGUAUUUUAUCAGACUGCCCCUCUAACGCCAUCCAGCACACAGCAACAAAAUAUAGAGUAUUGGUGGGAAGGUUCAGCCUCUACUGCUAUAUAACCAACAUUCCAUGUCUGCCAUUGCAGGCCAAUGUAAUAAAAUAUGAUGCAUCACUUUUGGAGCAGCCAUCAUGCCAUGAGUAUUUUGGCUUUCAUAUAUUGUAACUGAUAUAAUAUGUUCAACUUUUCUUAAUAUAAUAGUUUAGAGUCUUAUUUUUAUUUACUAUUUUCUUUCUUGUUCCUAAGAAAGUCUUUGAAUGUUGCAACUCUCAUUAUCCAGUCUUGCUGGGAAAACCAUAAAAAAGUCAAAGCACCUAUAUAUGUAGAAAAUAUAAUAUGAAGCAAAUCAAGAAUGAAAGAUAAAGAAUUAACUCAGAAAACAAUGAGAUUUGUAUUUUAAAAAAUACAUAACUUUGACUUUUUAUUAUUAUUCACAUAUAUUCUGCCUACAAGUUCUAAACUCUUAGAAAUACUGCAGUUGAUAAUCACACAGAGCAUUCCAAAAGCACCAAUAAAUUCAGUGAAAUACUCAUGAUGGUGACCUUAUGUUAUUAGUGUUACCUCAAAAAAGUCUCAAUAUAUGUAGCUGACAGCUGUACAUGUGCAUUUUGCUUCGGUAUAUCAGAUUUUUGUGCAGAUGAAGAUUGUGUUAUGACUGUCUCUUUCAUAGGUGAUAACAGUUCUGUUUCUCUUUGAGAGGUGCAAAACACAAUUGCUCCUAUGUGAUCCACAGACCUUAUGGAUGUGGAGGGUGAAAUAUUACUUAGGACAACUGUGUAGAUGCAACAAACUAUCAGCAUUGCAUAAACCAUUCUCCAUAUUUUGUCAUUUGACAGUUUCUGAUUUAUGCUGUUUCUCCAUCCAUCUGAAGUAGGUGUUUUUGUGCUUGUGUCAUGACUCUGUGUGAGUCCAGUUUCCUUCAGACAUACUUCUGGUUCCUGGCAUUACUCUUUCACCACACAGACUGUACGGAGUGCAUUUCAAAAGCUACCCUACCAAAUAAAAUAAUGGCUAUUUCUAGAAAUGUUGGUAGACCAAACUCUUUCUGUAGGCAGUCUUAGGCCAGUUGUAAAUAUCUAUAUUUAAAAAUACAAGCAUAACUCUAGAUUCCAGAGCAGCAGAAGUAUCUCAUUGAAUCAACUCCGUCUGUUUUUAGGCAUACUUUCAUGAUUCACAAAAUGAAGUCUUAUCUAUUACUUUCUACAGACCUUGUUCUUCUUCUUGUUUUCCUUUAAAGAAGAAAAGAUGCAAAAGCGGUGGUACCUACAUGUAGAAUUCUGAAAAUAAUGGAAAUUAAGAUAAUAAAUCUCUCCUAACAAGAACAUAUAUGAUGUUUCUGCUUCUUAGAGAUAAGUCAGGUGUUUGGAAAGCUUCUUGCAAUCACUGAGUGUAGUGCUUUAGAAGUCUUGUCUGUUGAGUGAGAAAAAAGAACAAAUAGAAGGCAGGUCUUUCUUAUAUAAGGGUUUCUAACACUCAGUAUUCAUCAAAGCCUCUAUCCUGUCCAACCCUUUUACAAUGAUCUCAUUUUCAUGAGAAGAAACAAGUGUUUGUUAAAGUAUUACGUCUCCUGCUAUAUAUCAAGGGUUUGUGACAAAGCCCGAACAAGUGACCAAGACACAUCUUUUAUACAUUUUCAGUCCUAAAGAAGAGACUGGACUGGGGCUUUCUUAGAGUCAUAUUCCUUGUAUCCACAAACAAGUAACGAUGUUGCAUAAAUUAGCGACUGCAUCUACCCUUUCUAAGAGAGGAAAGGAGAUGUUUUCUGUGUAAUAAAUCGGCUGCAAGACUAACUAAAUGCAUUUUGUAGUACUUUUUAUGGAGCAAGUGCAAUAUUUUUUACAGAUAAAGCAUAGCCAAGAGCAAAGGUUGAUGAUGGCUAUAUAAUUAAAGGCAUUCAAACUGUGCAAGUUGUCUGCCAACAAACGCUUUGCAAUGAAAAAGGCUCCAUAUUCAGCAACUGCUUUAAAAAUACUGUUCAAGCAUGGAUUUCCUUAAACUACCACUUGUCUGGCAAUGGCUUCCUCACCUGUGUAAUAAGAUUAAGAGAUCUACUUGAAAGCCAGAAAAGCUUUGCAAGUCAAGUGGAUAUUUGCAUAUUUUACAUUGCCAAAUACCUAAAGGAGAGAAACGUUUUCUGAAAGAUGAGGAAAACGUACAGAACACUAGAACUAGCACAAGGUUUUUAGACUCAAAGCAGCCCAAGUUCCUGAUUUUUGCCAGCUCUGCCAGCAUUGUUAAGUUAGUAAAAAAUAAAAAUAAAAAUCUGUUUGCAAUGACUGCAUGAACUUUACAAACUAGUAAAUAGUUAAUAUUUAAUCUUAAAUGUACUUCGGGUUUUAAAUCAAGAGAAACUAUUUCAGUGUCUCAGGUGUCAGAUGGGGUAGCUAAUGAAGUGCUUUCUUGAGUGAUUUCUGUCACAAGCCUGCAUUCUGCAAAAUAGACCUUGGAAGAUUACAGAUACAUCAGAGGUAUCUGUAGAUACCUUUCAAGAAUAAAAAUAACAAAAUAACCUUACUGUAGUGUUUUGUGACAUUUAUUUUCUUUGAAUAGCAAAAUACACUCUAUAUCAGUUUCAAAAAUAAAAUAAAUUUUAAAAAGUGUCAAUUUUCUUAAUGUGAUUUGCUUUAUUUUGCUAGCAUGAGAUUACUGAAAUCAGUUGGAAUACCUGAAUACAUUAAAAAUAGGGGAAAUGCAAUGUGUUAUGGGCAAAAAGUUCUAUAUUGAAUAGAAAAUUAUGGUAAGUCACAAAUAUUUCUGCUUAGUCUUAUACUAAGUACAGGCAAACAGUAAGCUUUCUCUUUUAAAUCCUGCCAGUUCAGGCCAGUAGUGACCCACAGUAUACUUUUCCUGUCCAGAAUUUCUCUUGAGAAAAGCUUGCCAAUCACACAAAAUUACUUGGUGCUUUGGGGAUCUGGACAUAUACAGAUAAGGGAAUCAACUACCAAACUUAUUUGAUGUGUAUCAUAAAUCAGAAGUGAACGUUAGUCUCCCAAGGGAACAAAAAAAAAUGGCCUACUGUAUUAAAAUACUUUGAUACCUUUGAUGUUCAAUGUUUAGAGCAUGAACUAUUUUCUAAACAUCUUUGAACUGAAGCUGAAAGAUACACUACUGAAAUCUACUCUUGCCUUCCUGCCUGCUUUUUUUUUUUUUUUUUUUUUUUUUUUUUUUUUUUUUUUUAACCAGCAAGGAGCAUCAAUUCCAUCUUAGACACAGAUAUGUGAUCAUUUGGCAAUGCUCUAAAAUUCUAAUUUAAAAUUGUUAUUUUCUUCUGUGCACAGGAAGACAUUUUUUGGUGGUUUUCUUUCAGGGGAGUGAAUGGUUUUUAGUUUUUCACCAAUUGAUAUCAUGAGAGAGAAUGAAAGACUGUGUAUACAUAAGCCACUGAAUAAUCAGUGAACCCAUUUAAGAGAGAUACCUACUGAGGUCAAUGAAAUUGGCAAUCUAAUGAACAAUCUAAUAGUAUUGUUACAAGUUUUAUGGUUUCUGUUUGUAAUUAACUUUAUGUGACAUUUAUUAUAAAAAGAUCGAAAAUUAUUAGUAGCAAUUACAUUUAAUGCAGCCAUGCAAUUGCACUUAUAUACUUAUUCAACUUUUAUUUUCAUUGACUCCCUGCUUCCUAAGUUAAUGCCUCUCUAUGUAUCAAACAACUUCAAUGUUUAUGAACUUUGGCCAAUAUGAGUAGAAAGUCUUUGUUUUCAUAAUGAUUUAUUUGAAUUCAGUUCUGUGGAUUUUAUCUGGAUACAUUUCUUGCUAUAUGAGAGAAAUCUCUUGAACAAAAGGAAGAAAAAGUAAUCCUUUAUAUUGUACUCAGUUCAUAGUUUCUUUGAAGUGAUGCUGAUAAAGGCAGUUUUGUGUUUUUCAGAAUGGAUUACUAACACAGUAAUAAUCAAAGAGCUGAUUUGUGUCAGUUGUACCACAUAGGGAAGACCCUCUAACUAGAUAUUUUAGAUGUUGAUAGCAUUUAUGAUUGAGUUUUGUAUAUACUUUGUUACAGAUGUGCAUAACUGUCAAAACCCAGGUUUUGUGAAAUGCUAAAAUGAACACACAGACACUGAAAAUAUGAAAAAGUUACAAUUAUGUUAUUCACCACUGAGUUUACAAAAACAGCACAGGUGUCAUUGCCACAGCAAGUCCAUAGAGUUAGUCUGUAUGUUCCACUGCCUCGUCCUGUAGCCCUGAAGUCACAGGUGCCACUGUCAGGCUGAAACCUCCUUUCAGAUGCUCUCUGUCUGGAAGCUUCAAAUCUACUGGAGAAUUCAAAUAGAUGCGAAAAGUCUUUGCAUUUUCUCUACUCAUAUUCACACUGUUCCUUGCCAGUGCUGUCAUAGCCAUGGACUCUACAGGAACAUAAGCAAAAGUCAUUCCAUAUCAGGGAAAAGCAUGUGAUACAGUCACAACAGCCCCUUGUAACACAAUAAGCAUAGGGCAAAGUGGCUGGAAAGCUCCAUACUGGAGAAGGAUUCGGGGGGUUAGUUGACAGCCAGCUACACAUGAGCCAGCAGUAAGCCCAGAUGUCCAAGAAGGCAUCCUGGGUUAUAUCAGAAAUAUUGUCUGCCCAGGGAAGUGGUGGAUUCACCAUCCCUGGAUGUUUUCAAGGAAAGGGUAGAUAUGACACUUAGGGACAUGGUUUGUGGGCAUGGUGGUGAUGAAUCAGUGGUUGAAUUAGAUAAUGUUAGUGGUCUUUUUCCACCUUAAUGAUUCUCUGAUCCUAUGAUCAUUAAAUAGGGAAGAUAUCUGAAUAAUAGUUCCAAGGAGGCAUAUAGCAGUUUCAGGGAGAAAACUUAUUGACAGACUGGAACAUUUUGAAAUUUCCAAAUUAAAAUUUCUGAACAAUUAUUUUAUCUGUGCAAAAAUCAUAUUUGGAUAUUUUACAACAAUCUGUGGGGAGGGCUACUGUUACUUUUGAUAAUAAUUCAUUGGUGCUUUUAUUGUUUCUUGGCUGACUUUCAACAUGUAGCUCCUACAAUGCAAGGGAAGGUAGACACGGUUUCUGUUACUACACUGAUGGAAUAUUGAAACCUGAAUUGAAGUGCAUUAGCUGAAGUCAGACAAGGUUGUGGUAGCGAUCACUAGGGAAAUUAGAAAACCUUGAAAAACUUUGAAGACAUUUUUUGCUAGGGCACCUAUGUAUUAAAAAACUGUGUCUCUCAGUUAUGAUAAAAUUGUAUUACAUAACCUGAGUGAUCUCAGGAGUUAGUAAGUGACUGAUUUUCUGUUCCCUUGGUAAGCAAUAAUUCAUGCAAACAGAUUGACUGAAGUUUUACCGUGCUAGUGUAAAGAGAAAACAGUGAAAUAUUGUUUGAGAUGUUUUUACAAGUGAAAAUGACAGCAUAUGAAGAAAUAUGUUAUAAAACAGGACAGUAUUAAAAAAGUAAAGAAAGCUAAGCUCAGUCUUUUGAAGAAAAAUAUUAAAGAAGUUGGUAGGAAAAAAAAAGAACUCGUUUCAUGUACAUAGAGAGAAAACAGGCAUUAAUAACCUGCAUGUGCACAGAUCAGCAAAUUUAUGAAGAUAUGUAUGAACAGAGAACACGACUUCAAAGCCAUUUGUAAUUACAGAAUGGUUUAUAUUUAAUCCUAAAUGUAUGGAAGGGGAUAAUGAGCUGGGAAAAAAUGAAGGCAUAUCGAACUAUUCUAGCAAAAACAAGGGAAUUUUUGCCAUUUUGUGUACUUUCUAUAGGCUAGAGGGACAAAUUUGUGUAUAGUAGAGUUCCUAUGAAAUUCAGGGUUCUGAUUUGACACAUGAAGUGAAAACAUCUUGGAUGCUUUAAUUUUACUGUGAAAAAACAGCAUAUGAUAUCAUGCACAUUAUAUAUGCAUAUAAAUGAUAUUAUUUUAUGGGUUUUAUGAUCUUUGUUACUGGUAUUCCACAUCAUAAUAUCAUGUAAAGCAUUGGGAGUUAAAAGUUGAGAACAAUUAAUUCUGUUAUUUUUUAUGUAGCAGCUAAUCACAAGGCAAAAUGCUUCCUUUGAUAGGAUCUGAGAAACUGAAAAGCUUGCCUCAGAGAAGUAUUCAUCUCAGCUAAUUUUAAACACUUAUAACAUGGAAGUCUGCAUCUGAGCUAAUGGCCUUAGGCACAUAUGACCUUUCCCUGGUCCACCAUAGAUGAGAUGAGAAGAAAUCUGAAUCUAAAUCCAAAAGAGCAUUUGAAUGUGGAAGUAAAAGCCUGCAUUGUGAAGCCUGAGAGAGAAAUUUGCCCAUGCUUAAUGGUAUUAAUAAAGAUCUGGGGAAGUAGAAUUGAAAAAUUCAGAAGCUUUUUUUUUUUUUUUUUUCUUUUUAAUAUCUUGAUGUCUAAGAAUAAAUAAUAAUCCUUUUUCUUUGUAUUCACUUAAAACCGUAAGUUUGCCAAGACAAUUAUUUUCUUGUUUUCCAUAGUUAAUAUUCUGCAAAGUCUUCAAUAAGGAGGUUUCACAGAUGAUUUAAGAACACUUUGAAAGUAUAAUGUACUUCUGUGAAAUGUGGAGGCUGCGAUGAAAUAUUUAAACAUCAAUGGAUUGAGAUGGAAAAUACCUAAUGGCUUUCCUUGCGGAAUCAUGUAUUGAAUAUUUUGGAUUCAUUUUAAAUCUUAGGGGAUCCACCUAACAGUUUAAUUGCUGAGAAAAAAAAUGCUGCAAUUGACAUCUAAACCAAAUUGCUUUAACCAAGUCCUGAAUUAAAAAUAUUUGUGUUUUUAUUACAGAAUAUGAAUUUCAAUAUAUCCGUAAUGGCAGAAUCUCCCAAAAAGCUAUUAACUGAGAUAACUGGCUGAGGAAAUCAACCCACUAAGCAAUUUUGUGAAAAUUAAAAUUCAUUUUCCACACAUUGUAGUGUACUGGUUCAGUAUAGCACCAGUUCAGUAUAGCACCUUUUUCUGUGAUAUUUCCCAUUUGUUAAAAUAGGAGUAGUAGUCAUCCUGUUUCUACCAGUUUAAGAGCCUUAAUACCAGCAAAGCAAGAGUGCUGAGGAUUUGACAGACACGCUUAGGUCAUUAUUUCAUAGUGCAAAUAUUUUUUAAGUAUGUACAAGGUAAAACCAAAUGAAACAAAUCCAUUAAGCAUCAUUUUUUAUAGCUUUUCUUCCUAUUCCUUGGAAACCUCUGGGGACAGUGAUUCCACCACCUCCCUAGGCAGCCUGUUCCAAUACUUCAUCACUCCAAGAACUUUUUCCUGAUAUCCAACCUGUUCAGCUAUCCCCCAGUUCAACUCAAAGCCGUUACCUCUUAUACUACUACUGUUACAUGUGAGAAGAGACCAGCCUCCAUCUUGCUACUUCUUCCUCUCAGACUAUUACAGAGCUGUAAGAUCUUUCCUGAGCCUCCCCCUCUCCAGACUAAACAAUCCCAGUUCCAUCAGCUGCUCCCCACAGGACUUUUGUUCCAGACCUUCCAGCAGCUUCUUUGCCCUUCUUAGGAUAUGGUCCAGGGCCUCAGUGUCUUUCUUGUAGUGAGGGGUUCAAAACUGAACGCAGUAUUUGAGGUAUGGCCUCACCAGUGCUGUGUACACGGCAAUGAUCGAUCUCAUGCCUAGUUCUGCUGACUACACUCUUUCUGAUACAAGCCAGAAUGCUAGUGUUCUUGGCUACCUGAGCACACUGUUGAGUCAUGUUCAGCUGAGCACUGGCCAAGAAUCCCAGGUCAUUUUCCACCAUGCAGGUUUCCAGCCACUCUACCCCAAGCCUGUAAUGUUGCACGUGGUUGUUGUGACCAAAGUGCAGGAUUCAGUACUUGGUCUUGUUGAAGCUCAUGCAAUUGGCCUCAGUCCAUCAAUCUAGACUGUCCAGAUACCAACGUAGAACUUUUCUACUCUCAGACAUGGUUUCAUCUGAAGAUUUACUGAUGGCCCACUUAAUCACCUUGUCCAGAUCAUCAAUGAAGAUAUUAAACAGGACCAGCACUAAUACUGACCCCUGGAGAACACCAUUUGUGACUGGUCACCAGCUAGAUUUAACUCCAUUCACCACCACACUCUGGGUCCAGCCCUCCAGCCGGUUCUCUACCCAGUGAAGACUGUACCUGUUCAAGCCAUGGACUGCCAUCUUUUCCAGGAGAAUGCUGUGGGACACAAUGUCAAAGGCUUUAUUCAUGUCUAGGUGGACUACAUCCAUAGCUUUUCCCUCAUCUACUAGGGAAUUUUUGUAGUCAUGAUCCAAAUUUUCAGAAGGUAUCUCUGUAUCCUGAUGAAGAGAUCUUUUAAAUGGCUCAUUGAAGGAGACUCAGAUUGCCUAGAAACUGAUGCGCAUUAUGGUUCCACACCCUUACUCAUAAUUUUUAUAAUUAAUAAAAAUUCAGAGAGAAACUCCUUCCAUUUUAAAUUUGCCCAUAGCACUCCUGUGCUAGAGUUUAGAAUUCUCGACUCUGAAGAUAAACGGAAAAUUAUUUUUUCUAAUUGUAUCCAGGAGCUUUUAUGUAGCAUAUUUUAAAAUGUCACAAAAUAAUGAAGUUUAGAUAAGCCAUUAAGGAAAAAACAUGUUUUUCAACUGAGUAAAGAUGCCAGCAAUUCAAACAAUAGUGCUGCAUUUGUCAGAUAAUUAGCCAAUGAUUGUCUUUUGAACUCUGAAAAUAAAUUUAGAAGGAGCAGAUAUGCUGUGCUGUAAAAUGUGAGAGCUUUCAGAGUUUUUUUUUCUUCUUCUUUUUAAGACUUUUGCUUAAAGAUUUUUUUUUGAAGUGUUUUCUAACUAAGUACUUGAAUUAUGUACACAUGAAUAGCCUUUAAGGAAAUCAUACAGGUCUCUUCAACUAUAUGCUAUACAGAUUUUAAUUUUACAGAUUUUUAUUAUUUUAGUUCCACUAAAUGCUUUUAGUUAAGGUUGACCAAAAUUUUCCCCUUUGAGACCAGUUUUUAAAUUCCUUGUAAUUGCCAUAUUUAAACUGUUCAUGCUGUUGUGCCCCAUGCCAUAUGUCUACUCUGGGAUGAAUCAGUUUGGAAAAUUCCAUAAAAAUGGCUCAGUAGUUUUGCAGUAUUGACAAAAAUGCUUUUUUUUCCCCCCAUAACUAAUAUAUUAUGCUGAAGCAGUUAACUUGAAUACUGUUGUUAUUUCCUAAUGAACCUCUGUUUAUGUUGUAUUGAUGUCCUGUAGAAAUGAGUCCAAAUGAAACUUCUGAUAAAAUCUUAGUAACUUGUGGGAAUACAAGAAAAACUGUUCAGAGGAGCAGCUGUGGAGCAAGAUAAACAGCAGUAAGCAAAAGAGCAAAACAAACAAAAAUUGAUCUCUCCUCCCAGCUAUUCAUUUUACUAGGGAUCAAACUCUAUGGUCAAGUAAAAGUUUUUGAUGAACGUUACUUUAGAAUAAAUAUAUCUAAUUAAUUGAAUAGUACUUAAAACGUCAUUUCAACUCUACACAUUUAUUUUUUAGGUGCAAAUCUUUCCCAAGAAUAUUCACAGAACAGAGAAUCAGGCGUAAAACCUAUCUACAUUUACACACUACUUUUUGACAGCAACAUCUUAAAUGUACUAUACUAUUCUGACAUUUUUAAGAGAACUUUUAAGAGAAAAUACUUGUGAGUAUCUGCAGUUCAAAUUUAUGCUAUUCUUUCUUUAUGGUAACUCACAAUAUUGUACACUAACUAUCAAAAGAAAGAAAUUUGUGAUUCCCCUGCAAUAUUUGCCUUUGGAUAAAAGAGGAAAAAAAAUCUAAUGCCUUCACAGACUGUAAUAAGUCUAAAAUUCACAAACUAAACCUCUAGUUCUAAUAACAUGGAAAACAUGCUUAACUCUGGUCACUCAAAUACUUCAGGGUAAGUCCACCUUCAUCUGUUGAAUACUCUUGCAUCCUCAGCACAGUAGCCAGGAAAAUUGACUGUGUGACAUAUCCAAGGUUUUUUUUUGUUUUGUUUUUACCAUGGAAGCCACUCUGUGUUCAUGUGCCUGCUUAUCCUACUGCUUGUUGUUGGUUUAGCCUGGCAGGCAGCUCAGCACUACACAGCCGCUCAUUCUGUUUCUGCCACACUCUUCCUCGCAGUGGGAUGAAUGAAAGAAGUGGAAAAAAGGGUAAAACUCGUGGGUUGAUAUAAUUGCAGUUUAUAAAACAGGAAAGGAAGGGAAAAUAAUGAUAUUGGUCUUAGAAGCCGCUAUUUCCCCUCUCCCUACCCCCCUUCUGGACAACUCCCCCAGUUUUAUUGUUCCAUAUAAUGCCAGAUGGCAUGGGAUAUCUCUUUGGCUAGUUUGGGUCUGUUGUCCUGAUUCUGUCCCUCCCCCCAGCUUCUUGUGCACCCUCAGCUCCUCACUGGCAGAGCAAUACAAGAAGCAGAAAAAACCUCAGUGCUGUGCAAGCAUUGCUAUGCAACAGAUAAAUAAUCGGUGUGCUGUCAACAUUAUUGUCAUCUGUCUCGAUCCAAUUUAUCGAAGAGAGAGGAGGUUCUUUGAUAUAUGUAUACCCAGCAUGAGAUUAAGAAACAACGGUUCAAAUGUUGGUCCGACCAGUUUAUUAUAAAUUCUAGUUGUUCAGGGAGAAGGGGAAGGGAGAAGGGGAAGGGAGAAGGGCAAUAGAAAAGAUAGGAAAUGGAAGCAAGGAGUCUGUGUAGGAAGCAAGAGGGAGAUAGUCACCACCAUGGGUUCAAUGUGGUUCGUAGGUCAGUCCUUGAUCUUCAGUAGUGGUGGGUCAUCAGGCGUUGUUGUUCUGUUGACAAGUGUCCACGGCGACGGUGACGAUGGCGACGACAAUGACUGCAAUGGCAAUACAAACUUAUUCAUAAGUCCAAAGUGGUGGAGUCAGCUUUCUUUUGAGUGACAGCUCGAAUCCAAAGUGGUUGAGUCAGCUCUCCUUGGAGUGGCAGCUACUGGCUCUGGGAUCUUAGCAGAAACUGCUUUGUGACCAUCUUCCAGGCCUUGCCAGCAGAUAAGAGGGAGCAGGAAUGCCCAUCUGCAUCCUGUUUUUCACAGGGCACGAUGGUAUCAUUCCCCAAUUUUCCCACACCAAGCUGCGUCUAUUUAGUCACAGGCCAAAUCUUCCGCUAGAAACCACUCCUGAGCACUCUCUUCCAGAGACAAACAGCUCCAAAGAAGUGCUUUCAAAUGUAAAAUUGUCCACACAGUGACGUGUAUUGCCACAGGGCAGCACCCACCUCUCAUCUAAGUCAGAGUCUUAUCGCAAGAAAUGCCUCAGAAAGCAAGCUUUGAGCCAAAAACCAAAGAAGGAUUUAUACAUCAUCCUAAAUACAAAAUGCAGCACCAUACCAGCUACCAGGAAGAAAAUUAACUCUAUCUCCACAGAAAGCACACUGCUUUCUUCUCACAGUAUGGAAUUUGAGGAGGGCUAAAUUAUACCCACUCACAAGGGAACUUGGUAUUGUUUCUCAAUUUAGUAAGCUAGCAUAAUAAGUAUAGCUUUGGAAAAGUAGGCAGACUCUCUGAGUAGGUAAGUACACAAAUAAGUUAUUUGCAGAUAGAUAAAGGACAGAAAAUGAAAUGGAAAAUAAAAAUAUAUUUGCUUGCCAAAUUACACUUUAUAAUGUGAUCGUAACUCUUUAUUUUUGUGUUUCGUGUAUAUAAUUUAUUUUUCUGUACCAACACUUCAGCUGAAAUCUCCCAGAGGAUCAUUAUUUAUCACUGAUUUAGAAUUAUAAAAUGACAAAAGACUUCCACUAAACAUAUUAUUAAAAAAAAAAAAAAAAAAACACACACAACAAAAAAACAGUCAAUCAGUGUGUUGAAAUUAAUGGCAAUCUACAAAAUUUCAUUAUACUCAAUCACCAUUUAGCACACGAAUAAAGAAAAUUAAAGUUUCUCUUUUUUCACUAUCUAUCUGCCCUGGCUCAUUUUAGUUGCUUCAGCAGCUCUCUGAAAAAGAUAUAUGUUACCACAUCUCCUCAAGGGUACUAGAUAUGUGCUAUUUCUGAUUAAGGAGACUUCACUAAGAAUGUCCUGCCAAUAUUCUUAUCCCUUUUACAGCUAGAAGGAUCCUACUUGAGUGACAUCUGACGUGUCAUGCUUGAGGUGCAACUGUAAGACCACUAUGCCUGAGAAGACAGUAAUGGUUUUCCAGAUCAGUUCAGAAAGAACAGGCCUUGUCUUUUAGCUUUCAAGAGCUUAUCACAAUGUUGAUCAUCCAGGACAGGUGACUAAUUUAGUCUUUGUUGCUGUUUGACUUUAAGCUCAGGUAAGCUGCAUACCUCCCCAGUAUCACCAAACUUUUUUCAUUAUUUUGUUUCUCUACUCUUAUCUCCAACUGCUGCUAGACUAUUCCCCACCUUAGACAAGAGACUUGGCACCUGCAUUAAUUAAGAAUGUUCUUAUUGCAUUAUUGAAAGAGGUUGCACCAGUGUCCCUUGCAGUUACAUAACACACCAGAAAGCUAAAUACCUAAGGAUCAAACAUUAGUUUUUGUUCUGGUGAGACUAGUCUGAUUUGAUAUAGACACCUAAAUGGCAGCUAUCUACAUAUGAAGCAGACACACACCAAGUAGGAGAAAAGGACAUUUUUAGGCCAUGGUUUAUCUGAUUUUUUUUCAAUUGUCUACAUUAGAGGUUAGUUUUGCCCUGAAGAGUGUUUGAUUUUUUCUGUUGAUUAUGAAGGGAGACUACAGUAUGUAGAUCAAAUGGAGACAUGUAAAUUUCUACAGGCAGAGGCAACUACAGCCUUCUCUCUGGCAAAGCAGCAUGAAAAACUGAAAAGUCCUUGUGGGCACUGCUCAGCAACAACAAAAAAAUCAGUAUGUUAUCAACAUUGCCUCAUCCGAAAAACAAAACACAG